AAGGCAGUGGGUGAACGCCUCGGGAGCCACUGCUCAGCUGUCCCUGUCCGGGCUGGUGGCAGCUCCCCGAAGGCGCAGGCAGAGCUCAUCCAGCAGAGCUCACCCAGAGCUCAUCCAGAGCUCACCCAGAGCUCACCCAGAGCUCAUCCAGAGCUCAUCCAGCAGAGCUCACCCAGAGCUCACCCAGAGCUCACCCAGAGCUCAUCCAGAGCUCAUCCAGCAGAGCUCACCCAGAGCUCACCCAGAGCUCACCCAGAGCUCAUCCAGAGCUCAUCCAGAGCUCAUCCAGCAGAGCUCACCCAGAGCUCACCCAGAGCUCAUCCAGAGCUCAUCCAGAGCUCAUCCAGCAGAGCUCACCCAGAGCUCAUCCAGAGCUCAUCCAGAGCUCAUCCAGCAGAGCUCAUCCAGCAGAGCUCACCCAGAGCUCACCCAGAGCUCAUCCAGAGCUCAUCCAGAGCUCACCCAGAGCUCACCCAGCAGAGCUCAUCCAGCAGAGCUCAUCCAGAGCUCACCCAGCAGAGCUCAUCCAGCAGAGCUCAUCCAGAGCUCACCCAGCAGAGUUCACCCAGCAGAGCUCAUCCAGCAGAGCUCAUCCAGAGCUCACCCAGCAGAGCUCACCCAGCAGAGCUCACCCAGCAGAGCUCACCCAGCAGAGCUCACCCAGAGCUCACCCAGCAGAGCUCACCCAGAGCUCACCCAGCAGAGCUCACCCAGCAGAGCUCACCCAGAGCUCACCCAGAGCUCACCCAGCAGAGCUCAGCCAGCAGAGCUCACCCAGCAGAGCUCACCCAGAGCUCACCCAGAGCUCACCCAGCAGAGCUCACCCAGAGCUCAUCCAGAGCUCACCCAGAGCUCAUCCAGAGCUCAUCCAGCAGAGCUCAUCCAGCAGAGCUCACCCAGAGCUCACCCAGAGCUCAUCCAGAGCUCAUCCAGAGCUCACCCAGAGCUCAUCCAACAGAGCUCAUCCAGCAGAGCUCACCCAGAGCUCACCCAGAGCUCACCCAGAGCUCACCCAGCAGAGCUCAUCCAGCAGAGCUCAUCCAGAGCUCACCCAGCAGAGCUCAUCCAGCAGAGCUCAUCCAGAGCUCACCCAGCAGAGUUCACCCAGCAGAGCUCACCCAGCAGAGCUCAGCCAGCAGAGCUCAUCCAGCAGAGCUCACCCAGAGCUCACCCAGAGCUCACCCAGCAGAGCUCAUCCAGCAGAGCUCACCCAGAGCUCACCCAGCAGAGCUCACCCAGAGCUCAUCCAGCAGAGCUCACCCAGAGCUCACCCAGCAGAGCUCACCCAGAGCUCACCCAGCAGAGCUCACCCAGAGCUCACCCAGCAGAGCUCACCCAGCAGAGCUCACCCAGAGCUCACCCAGCAGAGCUCACCCAGAGCUCACCCAGCAGAGCUUACCCAGCAGAGCUCAUCCAGAGCUCAUCCAGCAGAGCUCAUCCAGCAGAGCUCACCCAGAGCUCACCCAGCAGAGCUCACCCAGCAGAGCUCACCCAGAGUCCCCUCAGCUCCCGCAGCUCCUGCCCAGGAGCAGAUUCCCGCUGCUGAAGGGCUCUGCUGCUCCCCAGCCCUUCCCGAGCGGACGGAUCACCAUCCAUCCCCCGCGCCAUCUCUGCCCGGGGUGUCCUUGCCGGGAGUUCUCUGAGUGGAGCAGGAGCGGGCUCGGAUCAGCUCAGAGCAGCCCGGCCCCUUGGGCCCGAUUUCUGGCUAUUUUUGGGGUGUGCUCCCCCAGGGACCCCCCGAGCUCGGGGCUGGGGCUGUGCCACUGUCCCUGUCCCGGGAGUGCCACCAGGACACGCAGGAGGAGCAGAGGGAUCCGCCGGGGAGAGCAGAGCUGCACAGAGAGAGCGAUUUGA
rnacentral:lncRNA from 1 species